GUCACUGCCGUCAUAGGAACACGGUAAACAUGGCGCGAUGUGUGGUGUGUUGUGUGGGUGGUGUGUGUAUACAAUAGAAGAAUAAAGGCGAAAAAUGGUUAGUGUUAUGUGGCAUGAACAUUGAAUAGAGCCGAAUGAAUAACAGCCACAGAAUUGAAAGGAUUUUAGGACGGAAUUAGAUCUCGUAAGUUCCAAGGCCGAUCCAAUAAUGGCAUCUGCGGAGCAAGAAAUUCUGGAAUGUCGUGGAAAAAGAAUUGGCUUCACGUGCAGAGUUCCCGCGAUUCUCCUUGCGACUGCAAGACGCUGCUUCAGCCUCGUCUCCGGACGCCGUAGUUCAGCUUUAAUCGUUAGUGCGGCCAGCGGCCAAGCGAACGACAAGUGAUGGACGCCGAACAUCCAUUGGAACGGGGAAGUCUUACUUAUGAGGGGACCGCGACCGCUUGUUGCGGACCGAGGAGCGGUCGUCCUGUGGAGGCGUUGAGCUGCGACGCUUGUGGUGGCGACGCUCGCUGCCGCUGCCGCCGCUGCUCGCUGCAGCUGAGCCCACUGCUGCGACUGCUGCAGAAAGUGAAGACGCUUCUUCCUUCUCUAUCUGUCAAUGUGAGUGCACAGUCAAAGAACCUCUGCCAAAACUACUAAUUAUUUCCAGUAAAUUAUCAAUUGGAUCAAAUUCACAAGACAAUUUUUGCAUUCAAUCAA